UACGGGGGGAGCAAGCGUUGUUCGGAUUUACUGGGCGUAAAGGGCGCGUAGGCGGCCACCGCAAGUCGGUUGUGAAAUCUCCGGGCUUAACCCGGAACGGUCAAUCGAUACUGCGGGGCUAGAGUGCAGAAGGGGCAACUGGAAUUCUCGGUGUAGCGGUGAAAUGCGUAGAUAUCGAGAGGAACACCUGCGGCGAAGGCGGGUUGCUGGGCUGACACUGACGCUGAAGCGCGAAAGCUAGGGGAGCGAACGGG
rnacentral:rRNA from 1 species